rnacentral:rRNA from 1 species
CCUACGGGUGGCAGCAGUGAGGAAUAUUGGUCAAUGGACGCAAGUCUGAACCAGCCAAGCCGCGUGCAGGAAGACGGCUCUAUGAGUUGUAAACUGCUUUUGUACGAGGGUAAAUCCCGAUACGUGUAUCGGUUUGAAAGUAUUGUACGAAUAAGGAUCGGCUAACUCCGUGCCAGCAGCCGCGGUAAUACGGAGGAUUCAAGCGUUAUCCGGAUUUAUUGGGUUUAAAGGGUGCGUAGGCGGUUUGAUAAGUUAGAGGUGAAAGCCCGGGGCUCAACCCCGGCACUGCAUUUGAUACUGGCGGGCUAGAGUUUAGUUGCGGUAGGCGGAAUGUAUGGUGUAGCGGUGAAAUGCAUAGAGAUCACACAGAACACCGAUUGCGAAGGCAGCUUACCAAACUACGACUGACGUUGAGGCACGAAAGCGUGGGGAGCAAACAGGAUUAGAUACCCGAGUAGUC